UCUCAACCACUACUGCAGGUCUUUGCAUAUGCAAUCUACUAAAGAAGAAAAACUCACAAAGUUAGAUUCACAUUUUUAAAUUUGCAUUUUUAAAAACUUUUGGGUGUGGUGCUGACAACUUGUUGCGUUUUCAUUUGUGUCCUCCCUGGAAGUGAGGCACUCAGUGAGACACAGAAUAACAGAAUGACCCCGGUUGGAAAGGACCUCAAGGAUCAUGAAGCUUCAACCCCCCCUGCCACAGGCAGGGCCACCAACUUCCACGUUUAAUACUGGACCAGGAUACCCAGGGCCCCAUGCAACCUGGCCUUAAUCGUCGAGGUUCGCUGCUUCGGAGCUGUCCCAGCCAGAACUGCAGCGACUGACCACGAGGUACAGGGGGGUUUCCGUCGGUUCCUUCAUCCAGGGAGCCCCGAGAUCAUAGAGCAGCCCGGCAGCUCUCGCAAGAGUGGCUGACAUGAAGUGGAUGUUGCCAGGGCAACAGCUCCGCAUCCACGCCCCCCUGCCUAGAAAAAGCCUCAGGGACAGAGAGGAGGAGUCAGGGUGUGUGAAUCACGUGGGCCAUUCAGAC
rnacentral:lncRNA from 1 species